rnacentral:rRNA from 1 species
UCAAGUCGAGCGGACAGAAGGGAGCUUGCUCCCGGAUGUUAGCGGCGGACGGGUGAGUAACACGUGGGUAACCUGCCUGUAAGACUGGGAUAACUCCGGGAAACCGGAGCUAAUACCGGAUAGUUCCUUGAACCGCAUGGUUCAAGGAUGAAAGACGGUUUCGGCUGUCACUUACAGAUGGACCCGCGGCGCAUUAGCUAGUUGGUGGGGUAAUGGCUCACCAAGGCGACGAUGCGUAGCCGACCUGAGAGGGUGAUCGGCCACACUGGGACUGAGACACGGCCCAGACUCCUACGGGAGGCAGCAGUAGGGAAUCUUCCGCAAUGGACGAAAGUCUGACGGAGCAACGCCGCGUGAGUGAUGAAGGUUUUCGGAUCGUAAAGCUCUGUUGUUAGGGAAGAACAAGUGCGAGAGUAACUGCUCGCACCUUGACGGUACCUAACCAGAAAGCCACGGCUAACUACGUGCCAGCAGCCGCGGUAAUACGUAGGUGGCAAGCGUUGUCCGGAAUUAUUGGGCGUAAAGGGCUCGCAGGCGGUUUCUUAAGUCUGAUGUGAAAGCCCCCGGCUCAACCGGGGAGGGUCAUUGGAAACUGGGAAACUUGAGUGCAAAAGAGGAGAGUGGAAUUCCACGUGUAGCGGUGAAAUGCGUAGAGAUGUGGAGGAACACCAGUGGCGAAGGCGACUCUCUGGUCUGUAACUGACGCUGAGGAGCGAAAGCGUGGGGAGCGAACAGGAUUAGAUACCCUGGUAGUCCACGCCGUAAACGAUGAGUGCUAAGUGUUAGGGGGUUUCCGCCCCUUAGUGCUGCAGCUAACGCAUUAAUCACUCCGCCUGGGGGUUCGGUCGCAG